rnacentral:rRNA from 1 species
GACGAACCGUGCUAACGUUAUUCGGAAUCACUGGGCUUAAAGCGCGUGUAGGCGGGCCAUCACGUCGGUCGCUGAAAGCCCCCGGCUCAACCGGGGAACGGGCGCCGAUACGAGUGGCCUGGAGGGAGGUAGGGGGAGCCGGAACUGCCGGUGGAGCGGUGAAAUGCGUUGAGAUCGGCAGGAACGCCCGUGGCGAAAGCGGGCUCCUGGACCUCACCUGACGCUGAGACGCGAAAGCCAGGGGAGCGAACGGG